GAACAAAUAGUGAGUAAAAAUUGGGCUGAGAAUAGAAUUACUCUUAAAUAAAUUAGGGAAAUAAAUUAAAUACAUUAAAUACAUCCCAAUAAAUUAGAUAUAACGAUAUUAAAUAUAUACAACCCAAUUAAAUAAAUACAACCCGAUAAAUUAAAUAUAGCCCAUAGUGAUAAAAAAAAAUUAAAUACAACUCAAUUAAUUAAACAAAAAACAAAAUAAAUUAUACACAACUCAUCUACACUUUUCAACCCUAAAAUACAGCUCAAAUACUAAUUCCUC
rnacentral:lncRNA from 1 species